UAACUUUUUCAUACUUUAUUGUUAAAAAGCAGAUAAACUUCAAAAAAGGAGAGUCCAGGACCAAGUUUCUCCAGAAUCUGGAAUGGUGGUGCCUGUCAAGAAACAAGAAUUAUUUCAGAGAAAUGAAUGGAAACCUCCUUCAAGAGGGCAGCAGCCUGUUUUUCAGGUACUGUGCAUCCACAUUCUCAUAAUAUUUAAUCAUCUUCAGAAGGCAAGACAGUCUGCUUAUGUAUUCUCUAAUCUGAUACUUCUACACCAAGGGUACAACUUCCUUGCUUCAGACUCCCCACCCUGGAGGCCAGUCUUGCUAGUAAAGACUGAGGCAAAAAAGGCAUUUAGUACCCCAGACUUCCCCAUGGCCUGAGUCACCAGGGCACCUGCUCCACUGGUCAUAGUUCUCAAGCCUUUUACAUUUAUUCAGAUGGUCUGAUUUGUACUCCCUAUUGCUUGGGAUUGCCAUACUUCUGGAUACCAUACUGUAAAACUUAGUUCAGUGAGGGGUAAGAUAAACACUUUUUGAGGUUACCUCUUCCUUGGAACAUUAUUGGCAGUAGAAAAUUUUUUUCUUAUAUAGAUAGGAAUUUAUAUUCUACUGUGAUCUGUACUAUACCAUAGGUAGAUAAUCCUGGUUUUAGUGUUUCUAAAAGGGAAAGCAGGGAGUAAUAGUUAUUGUAUUUAUCAGCUAUGGAAGGGAUACUUACAUGUUUUUUAAUUUAUUUAAAAAAAUAAGCAAAAUUCAGCAUUUUUCUCAUAUACCAUAUAGUGUUUCCACCACGGAAACAUUUGUGAAUAUCUUGCCAUGCUUAUAUCAUGCAGUGGCACCUUCUCUCCAUUGUUCCUAUGAGAAAUGGAAAAGACAGUCAUCACAAAGUGGAAACACAGGGAUGUUUCAUCACAGUAAGGACGUUGAGAAAUGAAAGGCAAGCUCCCACAGGCAUAUAAUGAAAAAGAUGGUGAAAUAAAGUAGCACAGUGCUCCCCUGAAAGCAGCAAUCAAUGUGUAUACUGCCUCAAACUACAUCCCAGGUUCCCCUUGCUCUCAAAUGUCAAAAUGAGACUCUCCUGAAAUAAAUUCAGUGCUUUAGGCUUCAGAACAAUGAAGUGACUCUAGGGCAAUGGCACUAUAGAGUACAAAGCUGAUUGACUCACACAACAAUAUGGGCUGCUGCUUAAUGACAGGAGUUGAUGGAAGAGGGGAGGAGGGAAAAACAAUUGUAAGAUUACAGAAAGCCCUGAAAAGUUAGGAAGUUUCUGGUUUACAUGUGAAAGCAUUUGGAAAACUUACACCAACUAUGCUGUAGACAGUCUAUGUUACCAUGUAACUUAAAUUGCAGUGGACAGGAAGUUGAUUCAAGCUUGUACUGAUACAAAUGAAGACAGGUAAAUUAACAUGCUUUAUUAUAUUUUCAGCCACAGCCCUCCAGAUUUAAGAUGGCAGAAGAGCCAGAAAGUAUGAGAGUAUAUGGCCAUUAUGGUCAUUACUAUGAUAAGCUUGACAACUUGCAGAGGAAAGCUAAUGCACCUUAUGAGCUUUCUCAUAUCAGCCAAAGAGUUGAGGAAUAUUAUAAACUAAAAGGACAAGUUGCACCUCCACCCCCACCACCUGACUGGUAAACUUUUCUCUGUUCAUUAAUGGUGAACUGUCAUGCAUGUUUUGAGUUAUCAGCCUUCCCGAUUAGGUAACAGUGGACAUGGAUCAUCCAGUAUAAUUCCUUCUUUGCUUGGUCUUUGAUAUUUUUCUUACAUAAGGUUAUUGCGCAACAACAUAACUCCUGUUUCUGUGUAUCCAGGGGUUCUUUCUGAAUAUAUUGUCCUGAUGUUUGACGUUCAUUAUCAAAAUGUCUCCC
rnacentral:lncRNA from 1 species